rnacentral:lncRNA from 1 species
UUUGGAGGCUUGUAUUUCGACUACAGCCCUGUACCCCUGCCCAUCUGCUUUCAAAACUUGAACAACGAUGAAGGUUGACUCGAUAAGGAUCUCAAUUCAACGAAAUGCAGGGAUGGAGUCCAAAAUGGACUCGGAUUGAUGUCAAAUGUAUCAAAAAUAAAGGGGAAAAGGAAUUAGUGAAGGGUUUUGAACAAUUCAUAUAUAUAAUUAUGUAUUCAAUUAGAGAUAAUUGUGAUAUAACUCAUUCAAGACACUUACAAAUUACUACAAGUAUCAACACAGAAUAUAUCGGCAUCAAAAGCAUCAUUGAUGCUCACUGGGUUAUUCAUACUCUUUCUAAUAAUUUCAUCUUGAGAAAUUAAUACCCAUCUCAUGCUUAAUCAUUUACUCCCUCCGUCCACAAUUGUUUGUCAUGGUAAGAUCAUGUACACCCCUCAAGGAAAAUUUAAUACAAGGUAUAAUUUGACUAAUAUAACCCUACUAUCAAUCAUUAUCAAAAUUGCUCUUCAUUAAUAAACUAUUAAAUCUAUACAAAGAAUAUCAAAAGUUUACAUAACUUUUCAAUUGAACUACUACUACACUAUCAUUAAAUAUGUAUGAAGAAUACCAAAGGUCCACCCAGAUAACUCUACACUACUCAAUGAAAAAUUUUACCGCUUUCUUCGUGGAUGAAUUUUUUCAUUUUUCAAAUUUAGAAUAUGGUGUCCAUGUUUAUAAUGGAAUACUAGUGCUUAAUCUAAUGACUCUUCAAAAACUGUACUUAAUUUAUAGAGUAUUUACUUAAGCUAACUAAGGGCAUUACUAAAAGUUUUAUUGUAACUUUAAAAUGGUUUGGUAUUUUUAAAGUUUUUUUGUAACUUUAAAAUGGUUUGCAUUUUUAAAAAUUGUAAAAGUAAUCUUUUCAAAUUAAAGUGGUCUUGUAACUUUAAAAUGGUCAGUACUUUUUGAAAUCAGUAGUUAGUAAAAUGGAGUAAUUAUUAAGGGCAGAAUUGGAAAAAAAGUGACUGAUUGUUUGAAUUGACAAUUAAUUUUGGACAUCUAUUUUUAGUAUACCUGCCAAACAAUUGUGGACGGAGGGAGUAGAUACUUGAAAUGGAAGGAAAUUAUUCACACAUUUAGAUAAAAACAUCUUUUAAAUAACAUGAUCCCAACAACUUGAAAAAAAUAACAAUCUAACUUUCAAGCCAAAUCUAUGAAUCAACAUUUAAAAGAAACAUACAUUAAGACUAAAAUAUGCAUACACUGUGAAUUUUAAUCAAAAGCCAAGAGAAGAGGACGACAUGCUGCUUUAUGUUAGAAGAGAAAGAGAUGAACAAAUUAUGACAAAGAGAACCUAGAUGGAAAAUCCAAUUCUCACCCCUACUGCUAUUUAUCUAAACACCAAAACUUUAAGGAAUGUAAACCAUUUAGAAAGGGAACUACGACAGACCUUAUGGAAACAAAACCAAACAAUGACCAAGAUUACACUAUGCAUUCUCAAGUAAUCUGUGAAAAACUCACAUUCUACAAAGUUCAACUACAAAUGGUAAGCAUUUUGACUAAACUUUAAACCGAAUAGAAACAUGGACUCAACCCGAACAAAGUAUGUUGGACAGUAAGACAAUCCUAGGAUUCAAAAAAUAUAUGGAGAAAAUCAACUGCUAACAUCAACAGACAAUAGAUAAAACGACAAACAAUUGGUUUAAGAUCUGCCCCUACUUUCGAAUAGAAAACGCCAUUAACAAUAAUCAAGUUGAUGCACUCUUUGAUGUUUAAGACAACGAGAACAACGAAACAAUACAAAUCUAGCCGCAUUCAAGCAAGCAUACAAGAGGAAAAAAUAACAAAGCAAACUUGAAUAGAGAAACAAAGAAACCACAUCAUACAAAUUUCCAAAGUUUUAACUCAGCCAAGUCACGGAAUCACAUGGGAUCAUGUAUCAACUUUAAAGAACAUUAUGAACUUAGCAACACACAUCCACCAACCAGCCACAAAAACAGAGAUUUUUAACACCGAAAGAUCGAAAUAUGAAAAGAAAUGAAGAGAAUGUUGUCGAGGAAGAAGUGUUACCUUUCUCAGGGCAGCGACUGAAGACGACGAGCUUAAUGAUGAAGCAUCCACCACCACAAGUGAGAUUCCGAAGAAGCUCCGAUGAGACGAAAAGAAAUUCUCAAAAUCUAGACCUAACUUUCGUGGUUUUAUUAUUAUUAUUUUUGAUAUUAUAUUCAUUAAUCUAUGAUUACACCUUCAAAAAUUCCCCCUUUUUUUUCUCACCCCAACAGUGAAGAAUGAGGGGAUAUAUAUAGAAAGGAAAAUCUGGAAAAUUCAAGUAGGAAAAGGGUAGAAAAGGAAUUUGAAACUUGAACUCACAAUUCAAAUUUUCUUCCCAAAGGAAGGGGAAAAGUUGUCCUUGGUACAAGAAUUCAACCGAAAUCCCCCAAAAUCCGCACGACAAGAGGGGGUGUAUGGCUUGACAGGCGGCUGCUGCAGGACGCAACUGCAGGUCUGUUCCUGUUGUUCCAUCGAUGAAGACGGUGGAAGCUUUCCGUCUAUUUUGACUUGUGAAGGAGAAGAAGCCGCGUAUGGGUCGUCUGGUGUUGCGUGUGCUGCUGAUGUGAGCUGCGUAGCUGCUGUAUUAUUGUUGCUGUAACGUU